rnacentral:rRNA from 1 species
UGCGAGUGAAGCGGCAACAGCUCAAAUUUGAAAUCUGGCUCCUCUGGGGUCCGAGUUGUAAUUUGUAGAGAGUGCUUCGGGUGAGACCGCGGUCUAAGUCCAUUGGAACACGGCGUCAUAGAGGGUGAGAAUCCCGUAUGCGAUCGUGGCUCGAGCCCGUGUGAAGCCUCUUCGACGAGUCGAGUUGUUUGGGAAUGCAGCUCAAAAUGGGUGGUAAAUUUCAUCUAAAGCUAAAUACUGGCUGGAGACCGAUAGCGCACAAGUAGAGUGAUCGAAAGAUGAAAAGCACUUUGGAAAGAGAGUCAAAAAGUACGUGAAAUUGUUGAAAGGGAAGCGCUUGCAACCAGACCUGCCCGUAGGCGAUCAGCCGCUGUUCUCAGCGGUGCACUCGCUCUGCGAUCAGGCCAGCAUCGGUUUUGGCGGUCGGAUAAAGGCCUUGGGAAUGUAGCUUCCCUUCGGGGGAGUCUUAUAGCCCUCGGUGCAAUGCGGCCAGCCGAGACCGAGGACCGCGCUCGGCUAGGAUGC